GUGGAUUAGAUACCCUGGUAGUCCACGCCGUAAACGAUGAGUGCUAGGUGUUGGGGAGGAAUCCUCGGUGCCGCAGCUAACGCAAUAAGCACUCCACCUGGGGAGUACGACCGCAAGGUUGAAACUCAAAGGAAUUGACGGGGGCCCGCACAAGCGGUGGAGCAUGUGGUUUAAUUCGAAGCAACGCGAAGAACCUUACCAAGGCUUGACAUCCCGAUGACCGGCUCAGAGAUGAGUCUUCUCUUCGGAGCAUCGGUGACAGGUGGUGCACGGUUGUCGUCAGCU
rnacentral:rRNA from 1 species